rnacentral:rRNA from 1 species
AUUGAACGCUGGCGGCAGGCCUAACACAUGCAAGUCGAACGAGUGGCGGACGGGUGAGUAAUGUCUGGGAAACUGCCUGAUGGAGGGGGAUAACUACUGGAAACGGUAGCUAAUACCGCAUACCAUCAGAUGUACCCAGAUGGGAUUAGCUAGUAGGUGGGGUAACGGCUCACCAAGGCGACGAUCCCUAGCUGGUCUGAGAGGAUGACCAGCCACACUGGAACUGAGACACGGUCCAGACUCCUACGGGAGGCAGCAGUGGGGAAUAUUGCACAAUGGGCGCAAGCCUGAUGCAGCCACGCCGCGUGUAUGAAGAAGGCCUUCGGGUUGUAAAGUACUUUCAGCGGGGAGGCGUUACCGACAGAAGAAGCACCGGCUAACUCCGUGCCAGCAGCCGCGGUAAUAC